GGGUACCUGCGGAAGGAUCAUURYAGAGUUCAUGCCMGAAAGGGUAGACCUCCCACCCUUGUGUAUUAUUACUUUGUUGCUUUGGCGAGCUGCCUUCGGGCCUUGUAUGCUCGCCAGAGAAUACCAAAACUCUUUUUAUUAAUGUCGUCUGAGUACUAUAUAAUAGUUAAAACUUUCAACAACGGAUCUCUUGGUUCUGGCAUCGAUGAAGAACGCAGCGAAAUGCGAUAAGUAAUGUGAAUUGCAGAAUUCAGUGAAUCAUCGAAUCUUUGAACGCACAUUGCGCCCCUUGGUAUUCCGGGGGGCAUGCCUGUUCGAGCGUCAUUUCAACCCUCAAGCUUAGCUUGGUAUUGAGUCUAUGUCAGUAAUGGCAGGCUCUAAAAUCAGUGGCGGCGCCGCUGGGUCCUGAACGUAGUAAUAUCUCUCGUUACAGGUUCUCGGUGUGCUUCUGCCAAAACCCAAAUUUUUCUAUGGUUGACCUCGGAUCAGGUAGGGAUACCCGCUGAACUUAAGCAUAUCAUAAG
rnacentral:rRNA from 1 species